GUGCUGGCUUCUGCAGUACAUAUACUAAACUUGGACCGGUUCAGAGAUUAGCAUGGCCCCGGCGUGAGGAUGACACGCAAAUUUGUGAAGCGUCCAUAUUAAAA